rnacentral:rRNA from 1 species
ACUUCGGUUCACUAGUAGACCGGCGCACGGGUGAGUAACACGUGAGUAAUCUGCCCCGAAGUCUGGGAUAACCACGCGAAAGUGUGGCUAAUACUGGAUAAGCUCCUGGAUCGUAGGAUCCGUGGAGAAAAGCUCAGGCGCUUUGGGAUGAGCUCGCGGCCCAUUAGUUAGUUGGUGAGGUAACGGCUCACCAAGACGGAGAUGGGUAGCUGGUCUGAGAGGAUGAUCAGCCACACUGGGACUGAGACACGGCCCAGACUCCUACGGGAGGCAGCAGUGGGGAAUCUUGCGCAAUGGGGGCAACCCUGACGCAGCAACGCCGCGUGUGUGACGAAGGCCUUCGGGUCGUAAAGCACUGUCAGGUGGGAAGAAGAAGUGACGGUACCACCGAAGGAAGCACCGGCUAACUCCGUGCCAGCAGCCGCGGUAAUACGGAGGGUGCAAACGUUGUUCGGAAUCAUUGGGCGUAAAGGGCACGCAGGCGGUGUGUCAGGUCGGAUGUGAAAGCCCUGGGCUCAACCCAGGAAUUGCGUUCGAAACCGGCAUACUGGAGUCUUGGAGAGGGAAGCGGAAUUCCUGGUGUAGGGGUGAAAUCCGUAGAUAUCAGGAGGAAGACCGGCGGCGAAGGCGGCUUCCUGGCCAAAGACUGACGCUGAGGUGCGAAAGCGUGGGUAGCA